rnacentral:rRNA from 1 species
CCUACGGGAGGCAGCAGUAAGGAAUAUUGGACAAUGGGGCGCAAGCCUGAUCCAGCCAUGCCGCGUGAAGGAUUAAGGUCCUCUGGAUUGUAAACUUCUUUUAUAAGGGACGAAAAAAGGGCAUUCUUGCUCACUUGACGGUACCUUAUGAAUAAGCACCGGCUAACUCCGUGCCAGCAGCCGCGGUAAUACGGAGGGUGCAAGCGUUAUCCGGAUUCACUGGGUUUAAAGGGUGCGUAGGCGGGCAGGUAAGUCAGUGGUGAAAUCCUAGAGCUCAACUCUAGAACUGCCAUUGAUACUAUCUGUCUUGAAUAUUGUGGAGGUAAGCGGAAUAUGUCAUGUAGCGGUGAAAUGCUUAGAUAUGACAUAGAACACCUAUUGCGAAGGCAGCUUACUACGCAUAUAUUGACGCUGAGGCACGAAAGCGUGGGGAUCAAACAGGAUUAGAUACCCUGGUAGUCCACGCCCUAAACGAUGGAUACUCGACAUACGCGAUACACUGUGUGUGUGUGAGCGAAGACGUAAGUUAAGUAGUUACCGUUACCGUACGGUUAAGGUUAACGUACCGACCGAGGAGAGAACGUUAAAGGUUAAGUUAGACGGACGNGAGACGNGGACCGACGGACGACGACGAGGGAGGAGG